AAAGACUGGGACCUAGCUCCUAACUUUGGGGUGAGAAACUACUGUAUUAGAUAGGGAAGGUAACUCUUAAUAAGUUUAGGCCGUAGUUCACAUUUUAUGAUUUUAUUUUAUAUGUAACCAUUUGUUUCCAUCACUCACCCU